UAUCGAGGUUCCACUGUACUUGAUUACGUCAAGUUUUGUUUUUGUUUGUAGAAAUGGAAUCAUAGAUGAGUGGAAUGGAAUAUUUAUAAUAUAAUAUAGCUUGAAAUCUGCAGAACAGAGUAAAACUACUCAUAUAUUAUGUUCCUGCUACUUUUAUAAAGAAGAUAAAGAAAAUCUUCUCUAAUCAUAUUUUCAAAUAAGACUGGUGAAGAUGCUGAAGAAAUGCAGUAGCACUAUCUUGUGUGUAAAUCCUUGAUUUUGUGUAAUUUAUAAAAUUGAAAGCAAUAUGAUAUGACCAACAAGGAGUCUUUAUAAACAACAAGUCUUUAUAAAAACAACAAGUCUUUAUAAAAAAAAUGUGUAUCACAGUGUGAAACUACAAGUACGAACAUUACAUCUCAGAAAUGUUUACCACUGUUUUUUUUGGUUUUAUUCAAUGGAUGAUUUAAUGGAUUGUAGAUCUAGACCCUCUACAUCUUAAUUACCACUUGAAAGUCAACCAGAAUCAUCUCAUUCAAGUGGUAUCACAUCAAGUAGUGCACAACAAGACACAGAAAUGUAUUUUCUUGAAUAAGAGAAUACUCGGCUGAAACUAAAAUUAGAUAAUUUGUCAAAUAUAGAUUUCCAUUUCAGCAUAUCAAGAAUGAUCAUAAUUUAGUGGAAGUGUACAUGGGAAUAAUAACUAAUGUAUAUACUGUGUAAUAUUAUCAUGGAUGGGUGAAAUAUCACAGUUUUAACAAAAAAGAAUGUGUUUUAUUUUGUACGCACCUAAGAAGUUAUAGUAUUUUUACUACAAAAGCGAUAUUACGUAGGUCAAAAUUUUUGACGUAAGAGAACUGUCAAAACAUUAGUAUGUGACUUUUCAUUAUUGACUAUAUUCAAUUGCCAUGUUUAUAAUAAACAUGGCAAUAAUGAAAAGUCACAUUCUAAUGUUUUGACAGU